UCAAGUUCCACGGCCCUCGUUCGACCUCUUGCGACAGACCUGACGGGUUGUGAACGCGGUAAUUAAGUGAUAACGAUUAAAACUGUAAUGAAGUAUAUAAGUAAAAAGUCCAUGAUCGAGUUGCUGUUGGCCCAUCACGACGCUUCUUACUCAAUAAUAUCGAUGUCUUUUCGAUUGGACGUAUGGCACGUGACACUUCAUAGGAUGGACUUUGAACGAAGAGAAGGGUUGAGAUGAAUCCGCCCCUGACUGGUGGCAUCGUCGUGGUCGAAGCGAAGGAGAGCGUGGGCGCGCACCUCGUCGUAUCGAUCUCAGAUUUUUCGACGACCGUUUCAAGAGCAGGAUACACUGGGUGGUCCCAUGAGAUGUACACAGAACAAUGAAUCAUACCUCGAAGAAAAGGAUUUCGGUGUGACACAGUACCAACUCUCCACGUAUUCCCUCAAGGUGAUCUAUACGAGCGAACGAGUACCAACCCGGAGAGAACCGAUCUCUGGUUUGUCAAGAGAGAAAAAAAAAGAAAAGGCAACGAUCUGUCGUCGGGUCCUUCGAAAGACCCAUUCUUCGUCCUAGUUAUGUUGAAAUCAUUGAUGGAACGAAAGAUAAAAUGUGUCCAG